UGGCUCAGAUUGAACGCUGGCGGCAGGCCUAACACAUGCAAGUCGAGCGGUAGCACAGAGAGCUUGCUCUCGGGUGACGAGCGGCGGACGGGUGAGUAAUGUCUGGGAAACUGCCUGAUGGAGGGGGAUAACUACUGGAAACGGUAGCUAAUACCGCAUAACGUCGCAAGACCAAAGUGGGGGACCUUCGGGCCUCAUGCCAUCAGAUGUGCCCAGAUGGGAUUAGCUAGUAGGUGGGGUAAUGGCUCACCUAGGCGACGAUCCCUAGCUGGUCUGAGAGGAUGACCAGCCACACUGGAACUGAGACACGGUCCAGACUCCUACGGGAGGCAGCAGUGGGGAAUAUUGCACAAUGGGCGCAAGCCUGAUGCAGCCAUGCCGCGUGUAUGAAGAAGGCCUUCGGGUUGUAAAGUACUUUCAGCGAGGAGGAAGGCGUUAAGGUUAAUAACCUUGGUGAUUGACGUUACUCGCAGAAGAAGCACCGGCUAACUCCGUGCCAGCAGCCGCGGUAAUACGGAGGGUGCAAGCGUUAAUCGGAAUUACUGGGCGUAAAGCGCACGCAGGCGGUCUGUUAAGUCAGAUGUGAAAUCCCCGGGCUCAACCUGGGAACUGCAUUUGAAACUGGCAGGCUUGAGUCUUGUAGAGGGGGGUAGAAUUCCAGGUGUAGCGGUGAAAUGCGUAGAGAUCUGGAGGAAUACCGGUGGCGAAGGCGGCCCCCUGGACAAAGACUGACG
rnacentral:rRNA from 1 species